UUGACCUCGGAUUAUAUAAGGAUACCCGCUGAACUUAAGCAUAUCAAUAAGAAAUAAGAAAGA
rnacentral:rRNA from 1 species